GUCAGGGUGGCCGAGUGGUCUAAGGCGCCAGACUCAAGGGUGCAACCUUAGCUGCCUGAGCGUUCUGGUAUCCGAAAGGAUGCGUGGGUUCAAAUCCCACCUCUGACA
rfam:Macrostomum lignano uti_cns_0014447, whole genome shotgun sequence.